rnacentral:rRNA from 1 species
AGAACGAACGCUGGCGGCAUGCCUAAUACAUGCAAGUCGAACGAACACUUCGGUGUUAGUGGCGCACGGGUGCGUAACGCGUGGGAAUCUGCCCUUGGGUUCGGAAUAACAGUUGGAAACGACUGCUAAUACCGGAUGAUAUCGAAAGAUCAAAGAUUUAUCGCCCAGGGAUGAGCCCGCGUAGGAUUAGCUAGUUGGUGAGGUAAAGGCUCACCAAGGCGACGAUCCUUAGCUGGUCUGAGAGGAUGAUCAGCCACACUGGGACUGAGACACGGCCCAGACUCCUACGGGAGGCAGUAGGGAAUAUU